rnacentral:rRNA from 1 species
GACGAACGCUGGCGGCGUGCUUAACACAUGCAAGUCGAACGAAGAGCGAUGGAAGCUUGCUUCUAUCAAUCUUAGUGGCGAACGGGUGAGUAACGCGUAAUCAACCUGCCCUUCAGAGGGGGACAACAGUUGGAAACGACUGCUAAUACCGCAUACGAUCCAAUCUCGGCAUCGGGACUGGAUGAAAGGUGGCCUCUAUUUAUAAGCUAUCACUGAAGGAGGGGAUUGCGUCUGAUUAGCUAGUUGGAGGGGUAACGGCCCACCAAGGCGAUGAUCAGUAGGCGGUCUGAGAGGAUGGACGGCCACAUUGGGACUGAGACACGGCCCAGACUCCUACGGGAGGCAGCAGUGGGGAAUCUUCCGCAAUGGACGAAAGUCUGACGGAGCAACGCCGCGUGAGUGAUGACGGCCUUCGGGUUGUAAAGCUCUGUUAAUCGGGACGAAUGGUUCUUGUGCGAAUAGUGCGAGGAUUUGACGGUACCGGAAGAGAAAGCCACGGCUAACUACGUG